rnacentral:rRNA from 1 species
GAUGAACGCUGGCUACAGGCUUAACACAUGCAAGUCGAGGGGAAGCGACGGGGAAGCUUGCUUCCCCGGGCGUCGACCGGCGCACGGGUGAGUAACGCGUAUCCAACCUGCCUCUGACUGAGGGAUAACCCGUCGAAAGUCGGCCUAAUACCUCAUGGUAUCGUCUGCGGGCAUCCAACGACGAUUAAAGAUUUCAUCGGUCAGGGAUGGGGAUGCGUCUGAUUAGCUUGUUGGCGGGGUAACGGCCCACCAAGGCUACGAUCAGUAGGGGUUCUGAGAGGAAGGUCCCCCACAUUGGAACUGAGACACGGUCCAAACUCCUACGGGAGGCAGCAGUGAGGAAUAUUGGUCAAUGGGCGAGAGCCUGAACCAGCCAAGUAGCGUGCAGGAAGACGGCCCUAGGGGUUGUAAACUGCUUUUAUGCGGGGAUAAAGUGAGGGACGUGUCCCUCAUUGCAGGUACCGCAUGAAUAAGGACCGGCUAAUUCCGUG